AGGAGCGGCGGGUGACGUGGAAGCCGGGCACUGGCUUGAAUGACAGGCAGGGUGGCGGCGGCGGCAGCCGGCUACAGCGGAGGGCCAGGUUUUGUCACUCCUGUAGGCCCCGUAAUACUCCCGCCGGAUAGCUGGGAGAGCGGGAGAGACGUGUGCCGUCUCCUUCACAAAUAACACGUGGCUUGUGUCCCGCCUAACGGGGUGGCAAUGAAGGCCGGAGCUAGGCUGAUUAAGGAGAGAAAAAGCAGGAAGAAGGAGCCAGUUGAUGUAGCUGCCAAAACAAGGCGAGGCCCGGAGUUGGGGCCUGUGCUGUGAUGAACAUGGCAAAGUCCCUGACAGGAAAAAGGAAGCUCGUUUGGGAGAGUAGUGCUGGUGGAGGGACAAAGGUCUCAGCUCAGUCACGUCGGUUGUCAGAAGCCACAUGGGGAUCUGUACUCCUCUGAGUGCUCCUCUUGUGCCCUUCUUCAACGCCUCCUUCAGCUGUGGUUGAUUGAAGACAUGGUGUUGAAUUGCUGCCACCAAAAGGGGUGGUUCUGCUCCCUCCAGAGCCAUUGUCCUUGGCAUCACUCUUGUCAAGCCCUUUGAGAGCGAAGUCAUCCUCACGUAUCCUAGCCUGCUGACUGAAUUGUCUACUGCAAUUUCAGAAGCCACAGUGGAAAGAGUUUCUUCAUGUAAACAAGCCUGUUCACACACACAAGAGAGAAGUAGUCACUCCAGUGUUGGUGAAUCCCUCUGAGCAGCUUCUCAGACACUCUAAGGCUGUACUCUUGAAGUCGUGCACCCAUAGCUGAGAAGUCCAAAGUGGUUUUAAGAAUAUUUUAACAUUUUUCUAAGUACUGAAAUGUAUUGUUCAUGAAUUGGUCUGACUGUGUGCUGUGUUGCUAUGAGAGUGUCUGAGAAAGAAGGGAGAGGCUAGAAAUUGUUUUCAAGUGGUUUAUUGACUAUUAAACUCAUAGCUAGAAUAAAAGCAGCAGCUAAUAACCUGAUCCUUGUGUUACAACAGUGCACAGUCUCACCUUCUCCCUUCCUGCAUUGUAUUUCCUAUCUAGGUCACUGUGCAGUUCAAGGCUGUUGAUUUUCCAGAUAAUGUUUCCACGCAUUGCCCCAGACAUGGUGAUGACAGGCAGGUUUUCAGACUGUUGAUGCAAAUCAUUAGUGUCCUGGCACAACUUUUACCUUCUUCCUUGCUGGUUUGGUGCCUGGUAUGGGUUUCCCAGCCUUAUGGAUGGCAUUGGCUAUACUGACAUCUAAACAGCUUUGUAGAUAAAGCCAUCUUGCUGUCAGCCUGUUAAACAUAGACUCCGUCACUACCCUGCAACUGCUGUGUAAUUAAAUGUUCUACUAGGCAUACUUUGGCUUAAUGAGUUUUAUGAGUCAUGGUGGCAAAGAGAAAGGAGAGUCCCCAAAAACAAGAAUGGGCACAAACACCCUCUUGAUAAUUAUCUUUUUUAGAGAGUAAGGUUCUUGCUUGUACAAAGAAGUCAACAGCAGGUCUCCUUGGAUCCCUUGUCAGAGAAUCUCACACUAAUGCCUGCUAAGGUAACCGGAGAAAGUGAUUUUUCAGUUCUGAAUUUCAUAAACCAGUUGUACAGGCAGUUGCAAGAAAGUGGUUUGUUUGUGGCAUCUUGAUUUGAGAGUGCUUGAGAAGGAAGGAAGAGGUGAGAACUUGCAAAUUCUGUGCUCUCAUAAGCUCAACCCCAAACCCAUCUACACCACAGGACAUGUAUCACACACAGGAGGGGAGCAGUGCUAAGCCCCAGUACUCAAGACCUGAGCAUUGAAAGCAUCACCAAAACCAUUUCUCACCAGCUGCAAGCAACUAGGGGCAUGCAAACUGCUGGCAUGAGAAGGAGCUCAGUGGUAUCAGGCGCUUGUGUGCUGAGACAGAGGGAAUGCACCCUACAUGGCCAGGACCAUCCACACCCCCUGCUUUCACACCCUGUUGUUCCAGGAGGGAGGGACUGUGCCCCUGGCAGUGUGUGCAGGGUGGUGUGGCUCUGCUUGGCCCCUGCUGGACCUCAAUGGAACCUUCUCCUUGACUGCCAGUGGGGGGAAGAGGCAGUCGAGGAGCGUGUAGAGAUGAAAAAGUGUUUGGCACAUCUGGAGUCCCUCUGACCAGACUCACCCUCUUGGUGUAGCUUGCACUGAAUACAAGCCAAAGUCAGCUCCUGGGUGCAUGGGGCAAUUCAGCAGAGGUGCCUAAGUCAGUCUGUAAACUCCAGCUGAGGAGAUUACCACUCACUCAGCCAGCACUCAGGCACACACACACCCCACCAGCUUUCCUUGACCUAUUUACUGGCACUGAACUAGAUACAGGCAGACCUUGCUUUGAUUCAGAGGACCAGGGGAAGCAUGUACAGUUUUGCUGACACAUCUGGGAGGGUUGUGGUGAUUAGGAGGAGAAUGGUAACAGCCAGGGUGGGAUUGGAUUGGGGUACUGACACUUCAACAACAGCUGGAAGAAGACUUGAGUCUCCAGCCUGGUCCACAUGGCUGCUUACAGGCUGUGCUUGCAGACAGGCUAUGACUGCACAAGCAGGGCUUUGAGUAGAGCUGUUCCCUCCCUUCCUUUCCCCAUGCUGCCCCAGGGUGCUGCAGCUGCCCCAGCAGCCUGCCUGCCCCUCCCAUGGCUGCCCUUGUCUCCCCUGGGGCUGAGCCUGGUGUGCUCAUGCAGGGACUGCUUCUGCUGAGCCGGCUCGUGUCCAGUGCUUGCAGAAGCACACAGCACAAAUGGCAGGGCUCGGUGCUGUUCCCCACAUGGGACAAGGAUCAGUCUCAGCUGCAGCCCCUCUGCUUAGCUUGGCCUUUCACCUUAAGCUCUUCAUCUCUCUGGGUCCUGUUGCAAAUGCUGAACUACACCCUUAAUACCCCUCAGCAGGGAUGGAGGGUUAAAUCAGAUGAAAGAUUAGAGUAUCUUAGCAGGAGAUACGCUUAACUAAGGGUCCUGGGUCUUUAACUAAAGUCUAAAAUGCCCCCAAGCACCCCUGGUGGUGCCAAGACUUGAUGAGCAGCUGCCUGUGUGAGCUUCUGGUCCCUGUUCAUAGUCAGAUCUGCUGCUGUCUGUUCAAGACCAGGACACCAACUUCAUUUGAUGGGCAUCCUAACCCAUAGGCAAGAGAAGGUGGCACAUGAAAUACUUUGCAAAACCCUGCAAACCUGAAACAAAUGUCUGACCUGCAGAGUGGGAUUCACAAAGCCUGUUCCUCAGACUUUGACACAGAGUUUCUUGCUUCUCACCUUUUCAGUCCUCCAGGCACUUUUUGAGGUAGCCACCAAAGCAUAUGCUUGAGGUGCUGGCAGAAAAGAGAGCCCUGUGCAAGCAGGAAACGUGGUCUGUAUAUGAAAGCAUGGGAGGUCUGGCAUACAGCACCUUCAGUUUGUACAUCACAGAAAAAGAUGAAAAAACAGUAAAUAAAUCUGUCUGCUUGAUUGGAGAUUGAAACUUGGUAGUGUGAAUUAGUAUAAUUUAAUUUUCAUCACUUUCUUUUAUAAGCGCCAAAGUUCUGCAUCUCAUACGACUUACAAUCUUUAUGGGCUUCAUUUCUGAUCUUUUUGUAAAUGUUGGUAUAUCCAUGCUAUUUUUAAUCUUGCAGACUGUUUUAGGGUAAUAUCUACAAGAUACAGUCCGUUUUUUAGCCAGCCUGGUAGCCCAAACUGUGCCAGACUCUCCUUCUCUUAUACCUUGAUUGCUGCAACAUCCUUUCUCUGGUUGUGAGACACACACUCAUUGACCCUGCAGCUGCAUACAUAUUCACAGGGCUGCUACAAAAGUUGUUUUCUUUGCUUGCCGUUUUG